rnacentral:rRNA from 1 species
AUUGAACGCUGGCGGCAGGCCUAACACAUGCAAGUCGAACGGUAGCACAGAGAGCUUGCUCUCGGGUGACGAGUGGCGGACGGGUGAGUAAUGUCUGGGAAACUGCCCGAUGGAGGGGGAUAACUACUGGAAACGGUAGCUAAUUCCGCAUAAUGUCGCAAGACCAUAGAGGGGGACCUUCGGGCCUCUUGCCAUCGGAUGUGCCCAGAUGGGAUUAGCUUGUUGGUGAGGUAAUGGCUCACCAAGGCGACGAUCCCUAGCUGGUCUGAGAGGAUGACCAGCCACACUGGAACUGAGACACGGUCCAGACUCCUACGGGAGGCAGCAGUGGGGAAUAUUGCACAAUGGGCGCAAGCCUGAUGCAGCCAUGCCGCGUGUGUGAAGAAGGCCUUCGGGUUGUAAAGCACUUUCAGCGGGGAGGAAGGCGAUACGGUUAAUAACCGUGUUGAUUGACGUUACCCGCAGAAGAAGCACCGGCUAACUCCGUG